UGCUGAAAGGAAAGAUGGCCAAAGGAAGGAAAGUGGCCCCAGACCCUGCCGUCGUGAGGAAGCAGGAGGCUAAGAAAGUGAUGAAACCGCUGUGUGAGAAAAGGCCUAAGAGUUUUCUUAGGCAGGCAUUGGACAGGACAUCCAGCCCAAAAGGGACCUCCGCUGCUUUGUGAAAUGGCCCCGCUAUAUCUGGUUCCAGCUGCAAAGAGCUAUCCUCUAUAAGCAGCUGAAAGUGCCUUCUGCCAUUAACCAGUUCACCCAAGCCUUAGACCCCCAAACAGCUACUCAGCCACUUAAGCUGAUCCACAAGUACUGACCAGAGACAAAGCAAGAGAAGAAGCAGAGACUGUUGGCCCAGGCUGAGAAGAAAGCUGCUAGCAAAGGGGUUGUCCCCACUAGGAAAUCACCUGUUCUUUGAGCAGGGGUUAACACUAUCACCACCUUGCUGGAAAAGAAGAAGGCUCAGCUGGUAUUGCACAUGGUGUGGACCCCAUCAAGCUGGUUAACUUUCUGUCUGUCCUGUGUCCUAAAAUGGGGGGUCCCUUAAUGCAUUAUCAAGGGGUAAGAAGGCAAGACUGGGACAUCCAGUCCACAGGAAGCACCACUGUGGCCUUCACACAAGUUAACCAGGAAGACAAAGGAGCUUUGGCUAAGCUGGUGGAAGCUAUCAGGACAAAUUACAAUGACGGAUAUGAUGAGAUCUGCAAUGUCCCGAGUCCAAAAUCUGUGGCUCACAAUGCCAAGCUGGAAAUAGCAAAGGCAGAGGAACUUGCCACUAAACUGGGUU
rnacentral:lncRNA from 1 species